UAGCGACAGGCCUAACACAUGCAAGUCAGGGGCAGCACAAGGAGCAAUCUGAGGUGGCGACCGGCGCACGGGUGAGUAACACGUAUGCAACCUGCCUGUAAGCGGGGAAUAACCCGUUGAAAGACGGACUAAUACCGCAUAAUACUAAAUUACUGCAUGGUAAUUUAUUUAAACAUUUAUGGCUUACAGAUGGGCAUGCGCAUGAUUAGCUAGUUGGAGAGGUAACGGCUCCCCAAGGCAACGAUCAUUAGGGGUUCUGAGAGGAAGGUCCCCCACACUGGUACUGAGACACGGACCAGACUCCUACGGGAGGCAGCAGUGAGGAAUAUUGGUCAAUGGACGAGAGUCUGAACCAGCCAAGUCGCGUGCAGGAAGAAUGUCCCUAUGGAUUGUAAACUGCUCUUGCAGGGGAAUAAAGUGCAUCACGUGUGAUGUUUUGUAUGUACUCUGCGAAUAAGGAUCGGCUAACUCCGUGCCAGCCGCGGC
rnacentral:rRNA from 1 species